GACGAACGCUGGCGGCGUGCUUAACACAUGCAAGUCGAACGGAAAGGCCCUGCUUUUGUGGGGUGCUCGAGUGGCGAACGGGUGAGUAACACGUGAGUAACCUGCCCUUGACUUUGGGAUAACUUCAGGAAACUGGGGCUAUACCGGAUAGGAGCUCCUGCUGCAUGGUGGGGGUUGGAAAGUUUCGGCGGUUGGGGAUGGACUCGCGGCUUAUCAGCGUGUUGGUGGGGUAGUGGCUUACCAAGGCUUUGACGGGUAGCCGGCCUGAGAGGGUGACCGGCCACAUUGGGACUGAGAUACGGCCCAGACUCCUACGGGAGGCAGCAGUGGGGAAUAUUGCACAAUGGGCGGAAGCCUGAUGCAGCAACGCCGCGUGCGGGAUGACGGCCUUCGGGUUGUAAACCGCUUUCGCCUGUGACGAAGCGUGAGUGACGGUAAUGGGUAAAGAAGCACCGGCUAACUACGUG
rnacentral:rRNA from 1 species